rnacentral:SRP_RNA from 1 species
CCGUGCAGCCGGGGAGUCAGCGGUGCCCUGUACCUACAAUCCGCUAUAGUGGGGGUGAUGUCCUGCCCCGGGUUUUUUACUGCAGAGCUGCCCUUUAUAAGUGGUGUUGACGUCUGGGUCUCGCGCAACAAAAAUUCAUGAAUCGUGUCAGGUCAGGAAUGAAGCAGCACUAAGUGAAACCUUUUGUGUGCCGUGAGGUAGCCUGGGCCGAGCUAACUGUAGAGGUAACGUUUGUGGUAGGAAUUCAAAGCAGGACGCACGG